GAAACCAACAGGGAUUGCCUCAGUAACGGCGAGUGAAGCGGCAAAAGCUCAAAUUUGAAACCCUCGGGAUUGUAAUUUGAAGAUUUGGCAUUGGAGAAAGCUAACCCAAGUUACUUGGAAUAGUACGUCAUAGAGGGUGACAACCCCGUCUGGCUAACCGUUCUCCAUGUAUUGCCUUAUCAAAGAGUCGAGUUGUUUGGGAAUGCAGCUCAAAGUGGGUGGUAAACUCCAUCUAAAGCUAAAUACUGGUGAGAGACCGAUAGCGAACAAGUACUGUGAAGGAAAGGUGAAAAGAACUUUGAAAAGAGAGUGAAAUAGUAUGUGAAAUUGUUGAUAGGGAAGGAAAUGAGUGGAGAGUGGUUUAGGUUUCAGCCUUCUUUCGAGGGGGUGCACUACCAACGCCGAGUCAUUGAUAGCGAGACAGGGGUUAUAAACGGACGGCACUUGUGCUAUUCUCCUAACC
rnacentral:rRNA from 1 species